UAACUCAUUUUUCACGCAGCGCACAGUUCCCUUUCUCUUUUCCUUUCCCUUUCCCUGUCGCGACGAUGGUGCCAUAGGUGGUGGUCGUCGGUGGUUCUUUGGCGGCGGUGGUCGACGUUGGGUGGCGGCCGUUCGGUGGUGGUCGAGCUGAGGAAAAACGCAAUCCGCAACCAACCUAGUCCUCUUCUCAUUUUCAAUUUCGACCCACACAGCGCAGUUCCCUUCCCUCUCAGUCGUGUUCGUCGCGGUGGUGCCCACAGGUGGUGGUCGUCGGUCGUUCUUUGGCAGCGGUGGUCGACGUUGGUGGCGGCCGUUCGGUGGUGGUCGCGUCGAGAGAAAACCCAAUCCCUAACCUAAUUUUGUUCUCAUUUUCAUUUUCGACCCACUCGCACUUCCCUUCCCUCUCACUCGUGUUCGUGGCGGUGGUGCCCAGAGGUGGUGGUUGCCGGUCGUUCUUUGGCGGCGGUGGUCGACGUUGGUACCGGCCGUUCGGUGGUGGUCGAGCCGACGCUUCUUUUGCUCGUGCUGCUCCUGUGCCUAGCCACUUUCAGGAUGAUCAUGGCUUCUCCAAUCAGAUUGUAUAAGAUUGUAGAUGAUUAGGUCCACAGGAAGCACAUGAAAUUUCAAACAUUGUGUUUGUUAUUAACUCAUUUUGCCAUGGGACUUACUAUUUUGUA